rnacentral:rRNA from 1 species
GAUGAACGCUGGCGGCGUGCAUAACACAUUCAAGUCGAACGGAGUACACCUUCGGGUGUGCUUAGUGGCGGACGGGUGAGUAACGCGUGAGCAAUCUGCCUCUGUGUGAGGGAUAACAACCGGAAACAGUUGCUAAUACCACAUGAUGCAUAGAUAUCGCAUGAUGACUAUGCCAAAGAUUUAUUGCACAGAGAUGAGCUUGCGUCCGAUUAGAUAGUUGGCGGGGUAACGGCCCACCAAGUCGACGAUCGGUAGCCGGACUGAGAGGUUGAACGGCCACAUUGGAACUGAGAUACGGUCCAG